CAGAACAAGCAGGAGAGACGGCGAACAGGGCAAGUGGCUGAGGGGCCUUGGGGCUGGGCAGGGGGCAAUGGGGAGUCACAUGAGGUGCCUCUGGGGUGCCCCUCCAGGCAGUGGGCCCCCCAGACAACUGUCUCCCCUUGCCCUAUCAUUGUUACGCGCCUGAGGUGAAUGGAAUAUAGCAAAUCAAAUUUUCUCAUAUUUUAAGAGGGAAAAUUAUGCUUAUUAGGAAAUUAUAUGAGACUCCAUCCAGAAAUAAAGUUUCCUGUUCAGAAGCUGCUCCCACAGAAUAUCUAUACUAUUUUUAAAACUACCUUGUAAUAAGUCUGUGUGCUAAGUAUGGAUUACUCCACACUGCACAUACAAACCAGCUAUGCAGAAAGCAACUUAAUAAGACAGAAAAGUGGAUAACAUCAGGACAUCAUUUUACAGAGACUGCAAUAAACAGUAUUCUAAACAAACUCCAGACAUGCCAAAGAACUGCUUUAUUUUCCAGUACACAGAAGAUCUGUAUACUGUUUACUACUGAUAUAGCCAUUAAGUCCAAUUCAUACAUCAUUCUGGAUGUUAAAAAUGAGAAUCAACUUGAGUGGAUGAGUGGAUCACAACAGGGCCUCCCCAAAAUAAGACAAUUGUUUCUACAUACUGUAGGAACUCUCUAGGAAUGCCUAAGUAGGUUCCAAUUAACUGUACAUCUACUCAUACAACUGUUCCAAUUUCUUGAUUGUGGUGAAUCAGGGGUUCCAAGGGCACAUCUGCACAACUGAAGCUUCAACAGGUUAACUCUCCUGGCUAACAGGUCUUCACAUGAAGCAGAAUGAGGUGGCAGAAUGGACUGAACCACUUCAGAAUGCAGGUGUGGCAGGAUCAUAUUUUUUAAUACUCCCUACCAUGUUCUCUACAAAUAGUACACUAGUGUGGCAGUGAGAAAACUGAACUAAACCUCUCUUCACAAGUAAAAGAACGUUUGCAGCCUGAAGCAGACAAUCUCUACAUUCUGUUGUAUGCAUAGACCAGGCCUAAUCCAUCUUGAUCCGUUUCUAUCUUACUCUUUCUAGUCUAAUGAAACAGCUCUUACAAAGUUUGCUGAUGACCUUCUUCUGACUAAACUGUACAAGGUACAAGGUUGACAUCCUUUGUUGUGCCAUUUUGUUCCACUGUAAGGGAAUUCCUUCCUCUCAGAGAAUUUAGAUGGCAAGAGCCCAAUGGACCUUGACCUAAAAGUUCUACCCAAGAUUUCCUGCAGUUGCGUUUGGUCAGGACACUUUUGAUCGUAUAGGCUUCUAACAGCUUUAUGCAAUUUUGAUUUAAUAGUUUGGGGUUAUUGAUUUCACAGUUUUUGCCUAAUUUGGGGUAAACUUGUUGAAAGAUAUCCAUAAAGUGGUUGAAAGAUAUCCACAACCGGAAGCAUCCGGACCUUCAGUGGAAAGCUGCUCCAUUGUCAGAAGCUCCUUUUGUGACCAGAAGAAUAUCUGAUGGAGCAGCACUCCACUGAAAGUCUGCUGGCCUCUCAAUCUAUUGAAGUAAUUAAUGGAAGCAUGAUUUCAAAAACGAACUCAAAACAUGAGCAAAAAAUUGUUUAUGGAUCCCAGAGUUUUGGUCCAUCUACUAUUUAUUGAACACCAACAUUUUCUUCAUUUAACCUUCUAUCUUGGACUGUGAAGCAAUUGUGCAAGGAAGUAGAACCACGAUUUUGACCAAUUUUGUUCAUCCUGCCUCUAAUGGGAAAUUUGGAACUUUCAAGCAGAGAGCUGGAAACUUUCUUGCAAAAAGCAGAAGAGCUGUACUCUGCCUUAAAAGUGUGGUUCUUCCAACAUAUGUAGCAGCUAGCACUGCAAAAGCCAAUCAACACUUCUGGAGCUAAUCCUGUACAGAAAUCAUCAUAAAUGUCAGCUUUAUUUGUCUCCUGAUAAAGAAGUUCAUGGUCAAAACACAUUGACAUUACUGUUAUUUGGAUCAAUCAGCUAGUCUAUCAGCUAGCAAUUGUUGGAUUUUUGCUUAUUCUCCCUUAACUGGUCUUGGAGGAGAGCUGGUCUUGUGGUAGCAAGCAUGACUUGUCCCCUUAGCUAAGCAGGGUCCGCCCUGGUUGCAUAUGAAUGGGAGACUUGAUGUGUGAGCACUGUAAGCUAUUCCCCUUAGGGGAUGGAGCCGCUCUGGGAAGAGCAGAAGGUUCCAAGUUCCCUCCCUGCUAUCUCCAAGAUACGGCUAAGAGAGAUCCCUGUGUGCAACCUUGAAGAAGCCGCUGCCAGUCUGUGAAGACAAUAAUGAGCUAGAUAGACCUAUGGUCUGACUCAGUAUGUGGCAGCUUCCUAUAUACCUAACUUAACUCAACUAACCUUAACUUAGUCUCAGUUCAACUUUGUUAAUUGAGAAAAAAAUUGUAAUAUUGAAUGUGUUUUCUCUGUUAACAUGACAGUUGUUCUAUGUACAGGUAUUCCAUCUCCCCUCUGACUCCUGAAACAGAAAUAUGCUUUUGUAUCAUUCACAGAAAUCAGAAUCAUCUAUUUGACAUGUCAUUUUAUUUAUUAAUGAAUGUAUACACUAUGUACUUACCAAAGAAUUCAAGGCAGCUUACAGGUUAAGACAGUACAAAACAGACAAUAAGAACAAAACAGUAAGAACAGCAUUUCCAGAAAAUUAGAGGAGAAGUGAUUGAAAAACAACAGAGUUCAUGACAUUUUUGUUUUCACUUUCUCAGGUAAGUGGAAAAACAAAAAAGGUUCAUUAAUAUCAAAGUUCUUAAUAAUACUGGCUAGAUUGUCAAAGGCCCAACACAAAAAUUUCAACCACGCAAGGUAUUAUCAACUUAUGAUAAAUUCUUUUAUAAAGUUUUAACCUACCUCUCAGCCAACCAUAGCUUGGCCUCAAUACAAGUGAUGAUGUCUCUCAACCCUUGCAGAAAGUCUGAAUUAGCCUUGUGUUUGGACUCCAAGUAGGACUGCAGCAAAUGAAAUACCUACAUCAAAAUAAUAAAAAAAAGUUGCAGACUGCUGUGAAAAUAUUUUUCAAAUAUUCAGUUCCUCAGCUUUUGGCUUUGCUCAAAAAUAACUCUACAGGGAGAAAAAAACCCAGCCACCUGCAGAAUGACCCUCUACAACAGUGUACAGAAAGAACAUCUU